rnacentral:lncRNA from 1 species
CCAGGUGCUGGAAUUAAAGGCAUGGGUCACCAUUACCCAACUGGAUUAAACAUUCUUGAUUAACCUUAAGUAAAAGCAAUAACGUGUAACCAUGAGGAAAUGUUUCACAAGACAGAGAUUCAGGCUUCAGACCCACUUUUCCAUGCGACUGAAGACAGCAGCAGUUUUACUUCUCGGUGCCGUUUGAAAGAAGCCUAGACAAGAGCGGCAUCUUGCAGAAGGAAGGUGUCUCAGUGGGAAAGUGCUUCCUUAAUAGGCAUCCCAGUCCUGUUUUCCAUCCUCAGCACUAUGAGACAAGCAACCAAACACAAAACAAGGACACCUACUCCAAAGGUAGACAGGAAAUUCGCCCCAACAGAAAGGUGUGUGGUUCAACAAUGUCCACAGCAGCUCCGAGCCUACAGGGGAGUAGUGGUUGUCAAUUUGUGCUUUGGCUUGACUUCCUUCCAGCAGAGGUCACUGUGGAUGCUGGCAGUGGACACUUUAGGGAAAAGGAUCAGGUAGGCUUGGCUGACUGGAGUUUCCACUGCCUGGUUCUUUCACAGUCCAUAAUCUAUCCCCUUAAUUUAUGUGAAGGAGAUAAUCUUGAAGCGACCUGAAAAAACUUUGUGGUAAAAGCGAUGGUGGUAGGGAAACUUAGGUCAGUGGCUGGGACUAAUAAGGCUGAGAGGGCUGCAUUCAUCUUCUAGGAAUAUUAAGACAGAGUCUCAUUAUAUAGUUCAGGCUGACCUCUAACUCGUGGCAAUCCUCCUGCCUCAACCUUUCAAGUGCGGGAUUAUAGGCUUGUGGCCACCAUUACUGGCUUGUACCUGGUGUUUCUGAGUCUCCAUUUGUGACCAAUUACUGGUAAUAUCCCUGUAGCUCUACCAGCUCUGCUCAUAUACCCCUUCCAGCCUCUAUUGACAGACUUCCCAAAUCUUCCUUGGCAGCCAGUGGUUGUGAUAAGGUAGGUUUUGGUCAUUAGGGCAGCCCCCUACAGCAUGAUAAGGUGCUCCAGGGAAUGAGGACUGAUAAAGAUUUCAGGGUCAGAUUUGGGUGCCCAAAGGGCUAAAGAGGGUGUCACAUUCUUGUGAAGUUUCACUGACUGGAAUAUAGCCAGUCCUUCAGGUUGGACCCGAGGCAGUUUAAAGCUGCCUUCAUCCUGAAGUUGAACCUUAGGUCAGCAACUGUGACUUGAGAGUUAAAAGGAUAACUGUCUUGCUACCUUCUACAUCUAAGCUUGGUUCCUCUUCCUCCUCCUUCUUCCCACCCCUCCCCCAGCCAUAUGCAUAGCCUCACCACAGCAAGGCACACGCGUGAAUACUGGAGCAUGGACAGACACAUUCAUCCAGUCACAUUUUCACUCACGCUCUGCCCCACACACCACUAUCAAUAAAAAUCACAUCUAGCCACA